UACGUAGGGAGCAAGCGUUGUCCGGAAUCAUUGGGCGUAAAGCGCGCGUAGGUGGCCCUGUAAGUCCGUUGUGAAAGUCAAAGGCUCAACCUUUGAAAGCCGAUGGAUACUGCAGGACUAGAGUACGGAAGAGGCGAGUGGAAUUCCUGGUGUAGCGGUGGAAUGCGCAGAUAUCAGGAGGAACACCAAUAGCGAAGGCAGCUCGCUGGGACGGUACUGACGCUGAGGCGCGAAAGCGUGGGGAGCAAACAGG
rnacentral:rRNA from 1 species